rnacentral:rRNA from 1 species
CACGUAGGGCGCAAGCGUUGUCCGGAAUUAUUGGGCGUAAAGAGCUCGUAGGCGGUCUGUUGCGUCUGCUGUGAAAACCCGGGGCUUAACCCCUGGCUUGCAGUGGAUACGGACAGACUAGAGGUAGGUAGGGAGAAUGGAAUUCCCGGUGUAGCGGUGAAAUGCGCAGAUAUCGGGAGGAACACCGGUGGCGAAGGCGGUUCUCUGGGCCUUACCUGACGCUGAGGAGCGAAAGCGUGGGGAGCAAACAGG